rnacentral:rRNA from 1 species
AUGGCAGCCGCAGCACUGAGGGCGCAGCUCAACGCUCAUAUCGCCGGCAUGUACACUGUUGGUGUCGUGGACGAGGACACGUUCGAGGAGCUGUGGGACGAGGGCACCGCUGUCGAGGUCUCCCGCCUCUUCAUCUACGACGCCUCCAAGAUCAUCAACGACAUCGACAUCCUGAUGGAGGAGCCCGAAGUGGACUUUGAUGAGGUGGAAGCCCUGACGCAGCAGCUCAUGCGGUGCACCUCUAGGUGUCUCGUGUCAUUGGCUCUUGUUAGGAAUGAGUUCUAUAUUGUGCGACAUGAGUUGGAGAUCAUGAUGCAGCUUGAAGAGCAGAUCGCGGCAUGCGGUCCUAACUCCUAA